rnacentral:rRNA from 1 species
AGACCGUUCUCUUCAGAGGCCGGUCAUUGGAAUGGGUACAAUUUAAACCCUUUAACGAGUAUCUAUGAGAGGGCAAGUCUGGUGCCAGCAGCCGCGGUAAUUCCAGCUCUCAAAAUGCAUAGAAUCAUUGCUGCGGUUAAAAAGCUCGUAGUUGGAUCUGUGCUGGCGGGUCGGUCCACCUUCGGGUGCGCACUGAUUUCGCCGGCUUUCCUGCUGUAUUUGGCCCUGUGCCUUUCAACGGGUGCAGUGUCCAGUGCAGCAAGUUUACCUUGAACAAAUCAGAGUGCUUCAAACAGGCGUUUCGCUUGAAUGUUCGUGCAUGGAAUAAUAGAAGAGGAUUUCGGUUCUAUUUUAUUGGUUUUAUAGACUGAGAUAAUGGUUAACAGAGACUAACGGGGGCAUUAGUAUUGCUACGUGAGAGGUGAAAUUCUUGGACCGUAGCAAGACUGACUACAGCGAAAGCAUUUGCCAAGAAAGUCUUCAUUAAUCAAGAACGAAAGUCAGAGGUUCGAAGGCGAUCAGAUACCGCCCUAGUUCUGACCGUAAACGAUGCCAACUAGUGAUCCGCCGGUGGAACAUUCGCCCUGGUGGGGAACUUCCCGGAAACGAAAGUCUUCCGGUUCCGGGGGAAGUAUGGUUGCAAAGCUGAAACUUAAAGGAAUUGACGGAAGGGCACCACCAGGAGUGGAGCCUGCGGCUUAAUUUGACACAACACGGGAAAACUCACCCGGCCCGGACACCGUAAGGAUUGACAGAUUGAUAGCUCUUUCAUGAUUCGGUGGAUGGUGGUGCAUGGCCGUUCUUAGUUCGUGGAGCGAUUUGUCUGGUUUAUUCCGAUAACGAGCGAGACUCUGGCCUACUAAAUAGUUUACACAUUGCUUCUGUGUGCAUAACUUAGAGGGAUUUUCGGUGUUCAGCCGCAAGAAAUUGAGCAAUAACAGGUCUGUGAUGCCCUUAGAUGUCCGGGGCUGCACGCGCGCUACACUGGCAAAAUCAGCGUGCUUGUCCUUCCCCGAAGGGGGUUGGUAAACUCGUGAAAAUUUGCCGUGAUUGGGAUCGGAAAUUGCAAUUAUUUUCCGUGAACGAGGAAUUCCAAGUAAGUGCGAGUCAUCAACUCGCGUUGAUUACGUCCCUGCCCUUUGUACACACCGCCCGUCGCUGCCCGGGACUGAGCCGUUUCGAGAAACUUGGAGACCGCUGAUCUGGUAACUUCGAUUGCCAUUUUGGUGGGAACCAAUUUAA